UUUUUUUUUUUUUUUUUUUUUUUUUUUAUUUUAUUUAUUUAUUUAUUUAUUUAUUAUAAUGCGCCAACAAGGUAGACACUAAUAAAUUCACUAUAAUCAUCAGCACAGGGUACAAACAAUUGAGUGAUACCUCAAUUAUAGGCACAUACAGCUUACAUGAGAGUUUUUCAUUACAAAAACAUAUCGAAUUAAAUCAAUGAAAAUUAAAUUAUUACAAUAAAUUUAAGAAUAAAAUAAUCCAAUUUAAAUUAAUUAACAAAAUUAAUAAUCAUACGCUAGA
rnacentral:misc_RNA from 1 species